AUGACAAUAUUGCAUAUUAAUAUUUCCUGGCAUCAAUCUGUGAUUUGACAAUGACUAACUAAAUUGACUAUCUCAAAUACAAUGUACUUGAUGUGUAUUUAUAAAAUCAUUGAUGUAUGCUUGCAAAUUAUAAAAUACUAUAAUUUAUUGUAAAAAUGUAUAUAUUUAAUAAUUGUCAUCCAUGGAAAUACUGUUUUUAUUAAUGAGAAUGAUAUUUAUGGUGAUAAUGACUUCACAUUCCAUUUUAAAUAUGUUAUAUUAUAACAUGUUGAAGGGGAGCUAAUUUUUUGAUGAUGAGGCAGGGUUCUCACUAAGGCGAGUCCAUUAGUCCAGGACUCACGAAAAUCUAUCUAGACUCAAUAUUUUUAAAAUUGGUAAGAUCAAAUUUAAAUGUUUUGUAUAAACUGAACACAAAUAUCAUGUUUAUAGCAAACUUUUAAAAGUAAUCUGAAUUUAAUGUCUAUUAGGUCAUGGAGACUAAAAUAAUGAACUAUAUUGCAAUAAUAAAUAUCAUCUUUAUACGUUUGGACUCACCAUGGCUAAAAAUAUUAUAACAUGUUAAAGGGCAUAUACUUUAAUUUGGUAAGGGGAGAUAGUUUUUUAGAUCAUAAAUGAAGGGGAUAGACUUUGGUAAGGGGAGAUAUUUUUUUAGAUCAUAAAUGAAGGGGAUAGACUUUGGUAAGGGGAGAUAAUGUUUUAAAUCAUAAAUGAAGGGUGAUAGACUUUGGUAAGGGGAGAUAGUUUUUUAGAUCAUAAAUGAAGGGGAUAGACUUUGGUAAGGGGAGAUAAUGUUUUAAAUCAUAAAUGAAGGGUGAUAGACUUUGGUAAGGGGAGAUAAUUUUUCAAAUCAUAAAUGAAGGGUCAUAGACUUUGGUAAGGGGAGAUAAUUCGUUUAAUCAUAAAUGAAGGGCGAUAGACUUUGGUAAGGGGAGAUAAUUCUUUUAAUUACAACUGCAAUUUUUAAUGGUUGUGUCCCCUUUAAUGAAAAAGAAAAAUUUGAUAGUUACAUCAAUGGAAAAAUAAAUUUAAUGGAAAAAGAUGAGACUUACACAAGAACAUUUUAUAAAUUUACUUGUACCAGUAAACUUAUUUUAGAGUUUUUUUUUAUUUCUAAGUAAUAAAGUUAUAUAUUUGGUCAAUUUAUCUUGACUUCAUUCCUUUUUAUACUAAGGUUGCCCUGACUUCUGACAGUCUUUAUGGGACUAAGCUUGGGCUGUGGGUCAAUAGAGUGUACUGUACUUUUUAUACUAAGGUUGCCCUGACUUCUGACAGUCUUUAUGGGACUAAGCUUGGGCUGUGGGUCAAUAGAGUGUACUGUACUUUUUAUACUAAGGUUGCCCUGACUUCUGACAGUCUUUAUGGGACUAAGCUUGGGCUGUGGGGCAAUAGAGUGUACUGUACUUUUUAUACUAAGGUUGCCCUGACUUCUGACAGUCUUUAUGGGACUAAGCUUGGGCUGUGGGUCAAUAGAGUGUACUGUACUUUUUAUACUAAGGUUGCCCUGACUUCUGACAGUCUUUAUGGGACUAAGCUUGGGCUGUGGGUCAAUAGAGUGUACUGUACUUUUUAUACUAAGGUUGCCCUGACUUCUGACAGUCUUUAUGGGACUAAGCUUGGGCUGUGGGGCAAUAGAGUGUACUGUACUUUUUAUACUAAGAUUGCCCUGACUUCUGACAGUCUUUAUGGGACUAAGCUUGGGCUGUGGGGCAAUAGAGUGUACUGUACUUUUUAUACUAAGGUUGCCCUGACUUCUGACAGUCUUUAUGGGACUAAGCUUGGGCUGUGGGGCAAUAGAGUGUACUGUACUUUUUAUACUAAGAUUGCCCUGACUUCUGACAGUCUUUAUGGGACUAAGCUUGGGCUGUGGGUCAAUAGAGUGUACUGUACUGUACUUUUUAUACUAAGAUUGCUCUGACUUUUGACAGUCUUUAUUGGACUAAGCUUGGGCUGUGGGUCAAUAGAGUGUACUGUACUUUUUAUACUAAGAUUGCCCUGACUUCUGACAGUCUUUAUGGGACUAAGCUUGGGCUGUGGGGCAAUAGAGUGUACUGUACAUAUAGAAAACGUGGAAAUUGUAGAACUUUGUCAGAAGUUUGUGUCUAAAUAUCAUAAACGAUCAGUCAGAAGUAGAAAAACGAUACUGUAAAUUCAGAAAUUAUUGCGUGCAUUUAUUAUUGCGAUUUUUCAAGAAUGGACAAAAAUGCGAGAUUAAAUAUUGCGAUUUUUCAAGAAUGGACAAAAAUGCGAGAUUAAUUAUUGCGAUUUUUCAAGAAUGGACAAAAAUGCGAGAUUAAUUAUUGCCAUAUCAUGAAAAUCUGCAUACAGAUAUAUGUAACAGACAUCAAAAUGCGAGUCCUUAUUAUUGCGAUAGUCACCCAGUCGCAUUAUUCGCAUUAAUAAAAACCUCGCAAUAAUUUCUGAAUUUACAGUACAUUGUUCAUUUCCUUUUCAAUUUUCUCCAUGCAUAUGUAAAUAUUAUUCAUCGAUUACCCAUAUGUAGCACAACCUUAAGUAAGGCUUCUUAUAAAAGUAAGUACCGUAAGAAUCCACAGUAAGUAAAAUAUAGUUGUAUAAGUUGAACCCUGACUGACUUAGUUCUACCUCUUUAAUUGUAUAUAAUUUUUAGGGUUAUUCCAUUAAAUUGAAUGUGGAAUGAUAGGCAAGGAAGUUUUAUUUUUGGACCUGGGUCCUGGGACAUUUAUGACUGUGUUCAUGUGAUGUAUCCAGAAUUUAAAAAAGAAACUAUGUUGAUUGUAGGGCUAUUUUGAAAAUCCAUUCCUACCUUCCCAUAUCUAUUUUAACUAUUUGCUAAUUGUAUUAUAGCAAGUUAGUUUCAUGGUUACUUGAAGUAGCUGUUAUUUUUAGUUCGUGUAGUUAGAAGUAAAAAUAAUAGUUUUCUUAUAUUUUGAAAGAAAAUAAAAUGGCUGAUCUGUCCAUACUGUUGUUAUGGUGAUAAAUGACUACAUUCCACAAUGUAUAUAGUGUUGCCUGUUAAUUGUAUAUUGUAUUUAUUUUAUUUGAAUUAAUUCUUCUAUUGAUUUGUUAUAUACAUAGGCUUUAUUAAAAAUGUUGAAGUUA